UACAGAGGUCUCGAGCGUUGUUCGGAUUCAUUGGGCGUAAAGGGCGCGUAGGCGGCGGGGUAAGUCUGGUGUGAAAUCUCGGAGCUCAACUCCGAAAUUGCACUGGAUACUGCUCUGCUAGAGGGCUGGAGAGGAGAUCGGAAUUCACGGUGUAGCAGUGAAAUGCGUAGAUAUCGUGAGGAAGACCAGUGGCGAAGGCGGAUCUCUGGACAGCUCCUGACGCUGAGGCGCGAAAGCGUGGGGAGCGAACAGG
rnacentral:rRNA from 1 species